AUUGAACGCUGGCGGCAGGCCUAACACAUGCAAGUCGAACGAGUGGCGGACGGGUGAGUAAUGUCUGGGAAACUGCCAGAUGGCGGGGGAUAACUACUGGAAACGGUAGCUAAUACAGCAUACCAUCAGCUGUGCCCAGAUGGGAUUAGCUUGUUGGUGGGGUAACGGCUCACCAAGGCGACGAUGCCGAGCUGGUCUGAGAGGAUGACCGUCCACACUGGAACUGAGACACGGUCCAGACUCCUACGGGAGGCAGCAGUGGGUAAUAUUGCACAAUGGGCGAAAGCCUGAUGCAGCCAUGCCGCGUGAAUGAAGAAGUUCUUCGGGUUUUAAAGUACUGUCAGCGGGGAGGCGUUACCCGCAGAAGAAGCACCGGCUAACUCCGUGCCAGCAGCCGCGGUAAUUC
rnacentral:rRNA from 1 species